GUAGGGCGCAAGCGUUAUCCGGGAAUUAUUGGGCGUAAAGAGCUCGUAGGCGGUUUGUCGCGUCUGCCGUGAAAGUCCCGGGGGGGCUCAACUCCGGGAUCUGCGGUGGGUACGGGCAGACUAGAGUGAUGUAGGGGAGACUGGAAUUCCUGGUGUAGCGGUGAAAUGCGCAGAUAUCAGGAGGAACACCGAUGGCGAAGGCAGGUCUCUGGGCAUUAACUGACGCUGAGGAGCGAAAGCAUGGGGAGCGAACAGGAUUAGAUACCCUGGUAGUCCAUGCCGUAAACGUUGGGCACUAGGUGUGGGGGACAUUCCACGUUUUCCGCGCCGUAGCUAACGCAUUAAGUGCCCCGCCUGGGGAGUACGGCCGCAAGGCUA
rnacentral:rRNA from 1 species